GCAUACACCAAUCUAAGAUAGUUCAACAUCACUAUAGAAGCCGAAGAUUUGAUUCACUUGCGUACAAAGAGCUUUAAAAACAGCAAAUAUGCGAUUGGGGGUAUUCUGCCACCUAAAAACAAGGCAAAUUUACGCACAAGAUCAACACUGAACAUUUCAACAAACAAAGACAAAUCAAAGAAUGUGCUGCUCACUAACGAAAUUACACUUGACCAACCACCUAAUCAAGCAGAGAAUAAAGAUAGAAGAUAUCAUGAAAAACAAAGAAAAGAAAACAUCACCACAUACGGGCGGUCCUGAAAUCUAUAAUUAGUCUACUCUGAUUACAGAUAGAUAACCUACUGUUAACACGGAGUAACUAACGAAUGAAAAACAUAGAACAUGGAGCAGGCACUCAUAGCACAUAAUCUCUGUAUUCUUCAAGCUUGACCAUUUAAGCACCACCUCCUUGGAUCGGCCCAUUAGAUCUGAAUCCACGUCCCCUACCGCGAGUUCCCCUUCCACGGCCACGGCCUCGUCCCUGCAUGGGAGCUUCUUGAUUGUAGAAGCCACCAUCUUGCUGGACAUCCUGUGGA
rnacentral:misc_RNA from 1 species